ACACAAGAGAUGACAUUAAUAGAUGAAAGUGAGGCUACUCAUGCCACAUUAUCAGAAAGUAAUUUUGAGCAGCACUGACUUACAAUUGGGAAGAAAAUACUUGUCUCUUCUUUGUUGCUGAGUCAAAGGUCCGAUCCCCUGCCUGGAUACUAAACUUGGCUCAAUUCCUGACAUUGUCUCUUUUAUUCCCAUAACCAACCUUUUUCAGAGACUUCAGAAGACUAGAUCAAAACUUUUGCAUAUGUUGGAUGACUCACAGAAGCACAGACUAUGUGGUAUAGUAAUUUUGUGAUCUUUUGUCUAAACUCAUACUUGCUUAAUUAUGUAUUCUUUAAUGGGCCGAGAAUGCUACAACUUCCACUCUGCUCUACCAGCAGCUACAUGAUUGAAUUUUUAUCAGUGAAUUUAUUAAAUGUAAUAGGCUUUCACAAGCACCAAAUUUAUUUAGCUAAAGCUUAAAAGAACAGGCUACAUAGUAUCCACAGCCAUAACAUAGUGGAAGUAUGUGAUCCCUAGGCUCAGUUUCUGGUAUCCCAUACAUUUUAUACUAAGGAAUGAUGUGUGUUGAAUAUGUGCAGACAACCUCAGAUCAGGGAAGCCAAUAAGCCCCAGGGUCCCUUUAGCCUUUAUAACAAGCUAAUCACAUAGCCCCUUCCAAUGUACAUGACUAGGACUCCAUGACCAGCUUCCAUCUAUAAAUGCAGUUGUGUGUCAUUAAAGCUGAUUUUUCUUUAUUUAAUAAAUAAUAUUGACAGUG